CCCGGGUGUGGGGGAGCCGGGGGCGGAGCGGAGGGAGGCGCGCCGCGCCCCGCUGAGGCCGAGCGGGCGUCCCUGAGCCGGGCGCCGGCGGGGAGCGGCCCGAGGGCCGAGAGGGCGUGGGGAGCGUCUCCUGCGGGCACAGCCCUGCGGCUGGGAGAGGGAGCCGCGUUCCCCUGCCCGCCCGCUCUCACGGGGAUCGGUGAUGCCGGCUGGUAAACGCGCAACGAUGGUUGCAAAUGUGCUAAAGCUUAUUCACCGCGAUGGAAGCCCUCCUUCCCUCAGCCAUUCCCACUUCGAGGCGGCUUUCCCUUCUCCUUCUGCAGUCGUGGAGGGUUCAGCUGCGUGCCUUUGCACGAGAUGUGAGAGGUGUGCAGUCCGAACACCCGGAGGACUCUCGUACCACAGGGAACAAAAAAUAUUGUUUGACUGGGCUGAAUAACUGACAGUAGUGCGAAUUGCAAAGGGACGACAUCAAUACAGAUUGAAUAUUCAGCCUGGAUGCUGACAUUUCUUAAAGUAUGCAUAAUAGUUGUGAAGAACAAGCACGUCUCCAGAGACAUGCUGGGAUGAAUCCAUAAGAAGUAUUACACUAUGACCAGGGCCAAGAACAGGACAACUUAAUAGCACAAAGCAGUGCUAGUGAAAUUGGGGCUGUAACUCUUCAUGCUUGUACAAAAGCACUAACCAUUGCUACACCAGCAGGUGGCGUACCUGCCUUGCUGGAACCAGAUGCAUGUUCUACUGUCUGCUCACUUGCCGAGAUCUUCAGGCAGAAUAAUGCAAACUGUACAUAUGUGUACUCAAGAACUUCUUUCCCUCAUCCUUGGAAGAAGGUAGUGAUGUUAUUGCUAUAUUAAUUUUUCAAGAAAAAUAUCAGCAACAUUUCUGAUUGUAUGACCGUACGCUUGGACUGCACAAAGGGCAUGUUGCUUCAUUAGCUCUCACACACAUAACCAUAAGAUUUGAUUAGUAAUAAGAAGGAGGAAAAAAAUACAUUUUAUUCAUGACAAGUUCCUUUUUUAAAAUAAUCUAUACUGGAGGAAAAAAAAAAAAAGGAGGGGGGGGACUAGCCAAGAAAGGGGAUAAAUAUUUUCAUUUUAGAAACAUAAGCCGCAGACAUGACAAACGAUUGCUGUAAGUAUCCCUCAGGUAAACAAGCCCUGCAGUACAUUGACAGCAUGAGGGAUGAAGUAAACUACAUGAUGUCCUCCUGAUGUCAUGAUGGAGAAGAGAUGCAAAGCUGGGUACCAGUGCUGCCAUACUUCAGGCUGAAUGAGUUCUGACAGGACUGUCAAAGCAAAAGUAUAGCAGGGAGCAGUACAUUCACAGUGGUGCCUCUCUGUGUCAGUGCAAAACACUCUGUAACUACCAGGCUGUUUUAGCACUGGCAAAAACACUGUAGCUAAUCUAAAGAGGGGCAGGAGCCUCUCUCCACAUCAGACAUUCCUGCUGUCGGGGUGGGUUUGGGGCAGCUUUAUUGCUCUGGUAGAAGUCAGUCAGAAUACAGUUAUGCUGGUAAGCAAAGUGCUUUUACUUGUAUAGGUUCUAUUGCUUAUCAAACAUACCAGCAUAAAUCAUUAAUGACACUAGUAAAUACAUACACACAUUAGGAGGGCUUGCUGUUACAACUUUAUUGGCAGAUGUUCUUAACACAGACAUGGGCUGACAGCCUGGGUCAGCAGCUGUUUCUCACAAAAGAAAUACAACAAAUUCAGAGGCUUGGAAUAAAGUAUUUAAGUAUAGGGACUGUAGGAUUUUCUCACAUAUAUGCAUGUAUGUCCAAAAGAAAGCCUGACAAUCCAGGUAAACUGAAGAGGAACUGUAGACGUGAUUAAUAGAAGUCAUUAAGCACAGGUUGGAAUAUUCAGAAUUACGAAAAGAA